rnacentral:rRNA from 1 species
GAUGAACGCUGGCGGCGUGCCUAAUACAUGCGAGUCGAGCGAACGGACGAGAAGCUUGCUUCUCUGAUGUUAGCGGCGGACGGGUGAGUAACACGUGGAUAACCUACCUAUAAGACUGGGAUAACUUCGGGAAACCGGAGCUAAUACCGGAUAAUAUUUUGAACCGCAUGGUUCAAAAGUGAAAGACGGUCUUGCUGUCACUUAUAGAUGGAUCCGCGCUGCAUUAGCUAGUUGGUAAGGUAACGGCUUACCAAGGCAACGAUGCAUAGCCGACCUGAGAGGGUAAUCGGCCACACUGGAACUGAGACACGGUCCAGACUCCUACGGGAGGCAGCAGUAGGGAAUCUUCCGCAAUGGGCGAAAGCCUGACGGAGCAACGCCGCGUGAGUGAUGAAGGUCUUCGGAUCGUAAAACUCUGUUAUUAGGGAAGAACAUAUGUGUAAGUAACUGUGCACAUCUUGACGGUACCUAAUCAGAAAGCCACGGCUAACUACGUG